CACUGGAGAGAGAGGAGAGAAAGGAGAGGUUGACAGGGUUGGCACUGGAAGUGCCUACCAACAGCUGUUCUUCAGCAUUUAUUGCAUGCUUUGUGUCAUGAAGGAAUCUUGCUUCAUAUAUACAUACUGUAUAAUUCACUAGGUUCUUUUUCCAUCUUUUUUAUUCUUAAAAAAAAUCUUUGGAAAGCAGAGACCUGGAGAGCAAGAGCUAACAUAUUGGGAAUACUACAAUAUUCUACAUGAUAUGCUUCUCAUUUUCACAUAGAAAUGAGAAAACUCUUUCAAUCCCUGACAAUGGCACGGGACAAUCAUAUCUUGAUUGUCAUGGUGAGGAGGUCUACGCUCAGAGGAGGACCUUGUCUAAGAUCACACAGCUAGUAAGUGGCAGAGGCAGGAUUCGAACUCAGAUCUGUCUGAGUCAAAGUCAAAUUUCUUUCCACAACAUUAAACUGCCUCCUAAGUACAUAGAACUGUUAGCAAAGAAGAGCAAUUGUCCCCAGUUUAUAGCUUGAGAAAAUGGAGUCUGCAAGUCUCAGAGAAGAAUAAAGUCCUAUAGUUUCUAAUCAACAAAACUGUGACUAAAAUUCCAACCUGUGUUAAGUGAAAUGGUAGGUACGGGAGAACUCCAAGGUAUGGCCCCACCCUCAAGAGACCAGCCAUCCAUUGAGACCUGUGACUGCUACUGGUGUCUCAACAGGGAAUGGUUCCGAAUGAGUGCGUUGGUGAGGCACAGGUUGGGUGGUAUAAAUAAUGAAGGCUGAAGAGUCUGAGGUGGUGAUCAGUGCUGAGUCCAGACUGCUGCCCUGUCUGCAUAUCUGCUAAAAUGGUCUUUGCUGGAGGCCAUGGAUCCUCUUACAUUAUUUAUCAGAAUCUCUUAUCAUCUGGAAAUAAGAAAACCCAAAUCAAUUGUUGACAAACAUUUUGCAGUAAUUGCAUCUCCUUACUAAGGGCUGGACUAUCUCUCUUUGAAGAAUGAAGCUGGAGAGUGUAAUUGCUGGUCAGUUCUUCUCCUCACAAUGACCUGAGUAAAGACUCUGAGGCCAGGGAGAGUGGGAGCCUCUCCCCUCAAUGUUACCUCCAAAAGGAACAGGGGAUAAAUACCCUUGUAAGACAGUUGGCCUCAUUUUGUGGAUGUGAAUUCAAUGGCUCACAGCUCCAUUCUACUCAUCCUGGCUCCGGCUUAAGUUUUAAAAACUAAUUCUCUCUGCAUUAAUCUGAAAAGAUCCUUCAAACAAAAGCUCAACAUCUGAGUCUAUUUACCGAGUGUGCAGCUGUGUCAAUUGGCCAAGACAAAGCGAAGGCUUCCUGGUCAGCCCACAAUGGGCGGCAGGUAGUCUUGCAAACAGAGAAACACAAGGCAGGGGCCUUUCACGAGUCAGCAAACCUCCUUCCAACAAGGAAGAGCUGGAGCAGAGGGGUCAGGAGGAUGGAGUGCCGCCCCACCCCCACUCUCACCAGCACACAAGUGGGACUGAAAGGUAUCCACGAGAGACCUAGAAUCGUCCAAGUCACAGAGACAGAAAGUCAAAUUCAUGGAGACCAAAGGGAGGAGGCAUGAGUUUCCUGGGCGCAGAGUUUCAGUCUGGGAAGAUGAAAGAAUUCUGGAGACGGAUGGUGGUGAUGGUUGUACAACAAUGUGAAUGUACUUCAUGCCACUGAACUCUAUACUUCAAAUGGCUAAAUCGGCAGAGUUGAGAACCACUGAAUUCUGUUCUGAAAACAUCAGCAAGACCUUUCAUGGAUAUUAUAGGCUUCAGGCUCGAGACAGAGAGGAACCGCCUCUGUGUUUUUCACUGUCGUGUCUCAGUGCUGGGAGUGUACUCCAUGUGGUCAGUGUGUGAUCAAUUUAACUGUGCCUGAGGGUUCUGAGAAGACCUCACAAAUGAAGGUACCUUUGACCAGAGCCACGGAGAGGGGACAAGAGUUUACCCACCAGGCGCUGCAAAGCUGAGGUGGCAGGUCAGGACUUCCAGUGAGAAGGAGGUACUGGUAAAGGAGACUGUUAUUAUGAGCAGCUCCGUCCAGGAGAAGCCAGGGUUCC
rnacentral:lncRNA from 1 species